AGAAAUAAAAUAUUAUCUUAAUUUACACCUCGAAUUGAAGACAUCAAAUUGAAAUUACGACAUAAUACAAUUGAGAUCGAGACCCCGAUUUUCUAAUAUAUGCAGAUUGCUAUAAGUACAGUAUUUGACCAUAACACAUUAAAAACCCAAAAAUAUAUCACACAAAACCAAUAUCAAAGUUGACCCUACCCAACUUGCUCACAAAAAUACAAAACUCGCCAUUAAAAAAAAAACCCCUAUUUUCCUACGGCACCCAUCCUAUUGCUAAACUCUAUAAUUCUCUACACUCAUUUCUCGUCUCUCACUCUCUAUUUCUAAAUAUUUGAAUCCAUAGAUUAUUUUAUAAUUAAGUUAUUUAUUUGACUCAUGAAUCGUUUGUUUCUUUUUUAAAUUAGAGUUUCAUACCUUUCAGUUAAUAAAAAUUAAGUCUUAAAAUUUAAUUUAAAAAUCUUAUUGUGCUAUUCAUGCACCAUCCUUAUUCAAUUCAAUUGUUUUUUAAUUUUUUUUUUUCAAAAUAUAUGAUUUUUUUUUAUUUAUACGAAUCAAAUGUAAAUAUAAUAUAUAGGGUUAAGUAUCAGAUAGGCCCCUCACAUAGAGGCCCUUUUCACGUUGGGCUCCCUAUAGUCGAAGUUGGGCCAACUAAACCCCUAUAGUCCAAAAAAUUGAAUAAUUGGGCCCCUAGCCCUAACGGCUGAUAAACGCCGUCCGUACGGAAUCAUCCACAGCAUCGAGUGGUUGCUGAUUCCGAAAUCAGUCCAACAGGACUUCAACGCGCGGCGGAGUCUCCGCGCCACUUCCGCCGUUCUUCCGGAGGGCGCGCUGGAGGUCGACCUGAGAACGCACCGCCUGAAGAAGGCCGCGCAGCGACAGUCGUUUUACAGGGCCUCGAGGUAGAAGACGAGGGCCCGAGGGUUCCUCGAGAUGGAGAGCUCCGCCACCACGAUCUUCCAGUGCUCCUCCCGCGACGACGACAAGGCGGCGGACUCCGACGACUUCGGGCUCCUCUUGAGCGCGAGAGAGGCUAGAAUCGACUUGAAAAUGCCGUUGGGGCUGGCCAUUGAAAGCCUGCCGCCAUUAUUGCUCUCCAACGGAACAACCGAGAACCUCUCCCUAUUGCUAGGCCUGCACUUAUUGCACGACAAGCCGCUCGCCUCCUCCUUUUUCUGCCGCUUCUUCGCCGUCUUGCUGCUCCGCCGGCUCUUCUCAGAAUUCAGCGGUGUCGGAAAGUGCGUGUAAUCGCUGUCUCUCUUCUCCGUGUAGUCGCUCGCCGGAGUUGCUCUAAAACUCAUCCUUCCCUGAGAGAAUUCCUCCUCCUCGUUCCCCUCUUCUAUCUGCCAAAACAAAAUAAAAAAAUCGAUUCCCCUGUUUCCGGCGGAGGAAACCACUGCUCCGCCCAAAUUAAAAAUACAAAUAAAAAUAAGACGGACGGCGUUUAUCAGCCGUUAGGGCUAGGGGCCCAAUUAUUCAAUUUUUUGGACUAUAGGGGUUUAGUUGGCCCAACUUCGACUUUAGGGAGCCCAACGUGAAAAGGGCCUCUAUGUGAGGGGCCUAAUUAAUAAUUAACCCAUUUAUUUUUAUUAUUGUAAAUAAGCAAAGUUUGGCUGAGAGACGUCAACGCAGAGAGAUUAGAAGGCCUAAUCGUUUCACCAAUUAGUAUUCUUAUCACCGCAAUCAGAAUCAGAAUCAGAAACUGAGCGUGGGGGCAGAAUCAGAAUGCACAAUCUACAGAGUUCAUAAACAUUUACGGAACGUGAACCCCAAUGCUUACGAGCCCGAGGUGAUCGCUAUUGGCCCUUAUCACCGCAACACGGAUCAUCUAAAAAUGAUGGAAGAUUACAAGCUACGUUACUUCCAGCACCUCAUCAGAAGGAAACCUUCCAACAAUGUGGAAAGCUACGUAGCAUGUGUGGGCAGAUUGGAAGCCGAAGCAAGAAAAUGUUACGCAGAUGAGCCUACAAGCCUGAGCCCCAGCGAGUUCAUACAAAUGCUUGUACUAGAUGGAUGCUUCAUCAUUGAGUUAUUACUGAAGCGCGUCACGGUGUCCCUGAGGGAGAAGAAUGAUCCCAUCUUCCAAAUGGACUGGAUGAUUCUUAGCCUGCAGCGCGAUUUAAUGCUCUUCGAGAAUCAACUCCCAUUCUUCGUCUUGUGCGAGCUGUUCGACCUGAUUGAGGCUCCCGGCCAGCAUAGUAUGUUGCGGGACCUUUUAUCCACUCUCAUUACACUCAACAAUAUUUUUUCUUAAAACCCGUGUCACUCCCUCCUAGGAAGUUUUUUCAUGGACGGAGGGAAUAUAAUUUUUUACAUUCCUGUUUUUCCAUAGUUUUACAAAUCGAGUGAGUUUUGUUCUUGAGAGUUUUGAGAGUUGAUUCCAUUGUUCCAUUGCUGCAAUCCGAUUUCGUGUGUUUUGGAAGCUUUUGCGCAACAAGAAGUUAUCUAGAUAUUCCAUGUGAUUUAUUUUUUAUUACGAAUUAAUUAAAAGUUAUUUAGAAAUGGAAUAUAUAUAAGAAAUAAAAUAUUAUCUUAAUUUACACCUCGAAUUGAAGACAUCAAAUUGAAAUUACGACAUAAUACAAUUGAGAGACCCCUAUUUUCUAAUAUAUGCAGAUUGCUAUAAGUACAAUAUUUGACCAUAACACAUUAAAAACCCAAAAAUAUGUUACACAAAAUCAAUAUCAAAGUUGACCCAACUUUGAUAUUACACAAAAUCAAUAUCAAAGUUGACCCAACUUGCUCACAAAAAUACAAAACUCGCCAUUUAAAAAAAAAAAAAAAAAACCCUAUUUUCUUACGGCACCCAUCCUAUUGCUAAACUCUAUAAAUUCUCUACACCCAUUUCUCGUCUCUCACUCACUAUUUCUAAAUAUUUGGAUCCAUAGAUUAUUUUAUAAUUAAGUUAUUUAUUUGACU
rnacentral:lncRNA from 1 species